GGGCCCGUAGCUCAGCUGGAUAGAGCACCGGUCUUCUAAACCGGGGGUCGAGGGUUCGAAUCCCUCCGGGCCCA
rnacentral:tRNA from 1 species